rnacentral:rRNA from 1 species
AAUAUUGUACAAUGGAGGGAACUCCGAUGCAGCAACGCCGCGUGAGUGGAGAAGGGUUUCGGAUCGUAAAACUCUGAUAUGGGGGAAGUAGAAAUGACGGUACGCAAGGAGGAAGCCCCGGCUGACUAAGUGCCAGCAGCCGCGGUAAUACGUAGGGGGCGAGCGUUGUCCGGAAUUACUGGGCGUAAAGGGUACGUAGGCGGCUAUAUAAGUCAGGUGUGAAAUACCAGUGCUUAACACUGGAAUUGCAUUUGAAACUGUGUAGCUUGAGUGCAGGAGAGGAAAGUGGAAUUCCUAGUGUAGCGGUGAAAUGCGUAGAGAUUAGGGGGAACACCAGUGGCGAAGGCGACUUUCUGGACUGUAACUGACGCUGAGGUACGAAAGCGUGGGUAGCGAACA